GUCGGGAUAGCUCAGUUGGUAGAGCAGAGAACGGAAAAUC
rnacentral:tRNA from 1 species